rnacentral:rRNA from 1 species
GAUGAACGCUGGCGGCGUGCCUAAUACAUGCAAGUCGAGCGAACAGACGAGGAGCUUGCUCCUCUGACGUUAGCGGCGGACGGGUGAGUAACACGUGGAUAACCUACCUAUAAGACUGGGAUAACUUCGGGAAACCGGAGCUAAUACCGGAUAAUAUAUUGAACCGCAUGGUUCAAUAGUGAAAGACGGUUUUGCUGUCACUUAUAGAUGGAUCCGCGCCGCAUUAGCUAGUUGGUAAGGUAACGGCUUACCAAGGCGACGAUGCGUAGCCGACCUGAGAGGGGGAUCGGCCACACUGGAACUGAGACACGGUCCAGACCCCUACGGGAGGCAGCAGUAGGGAAUCUUCCGCAAGGGGCGAAAGCCUGACGGAGCAACGCCGCGGGGGUGAUGAAGGUCUUCGGAUCGUAAAACCUUGUUAUUAGGGAAAAAAAAAUGUGUAAGUAAAUAUGCACGUCUUGACGGUACCAAAGCAGAAAGCCCCGGCUAACUACGU